rnacentral:rRNA from 1 species
AUUGAACGCUAGCGGCAUGCUUAACACAUGCAAGUCGAACGGCAGCGCGGUUGUGGUAACACAACUGGCGGCGAGUGGCGGACGGGUGAGUAAUGUGUAGGAAUCUGCCUUGAGGAGGGGGAUAACUUGGGGAAACUCAAGCUAAUACCACAUAAGCCCUACGGGGGAAAGCUUGGGACCGAAAGGCCAGGCGCCUUAAGAUGAGCCUACAUCGGAUUAGCUAGUUGGUGGGGUAAAGGCCUACCAAGGCGAUGAUCCGUAGCUGGUCUGAGAGGAUGAUCAGCCACACUGGGACUGAGACACGGCCCAGACUCCUACGGGAGGCAGCAGUGGGGAAUAUUGGACAAUGGGCGAAAGCCUGAUCCAGCAAUGCCGCGUGUGUGAAGAAGGCCUUCGGGUUGUAAAGCACUUUCAGUUGGGAGGAAGGGGAUGAUGUUAAUAGCAUUGUUCAUUGACGUUACCGACAGAAGAAGCACCGGCUAACUCUGUGCCAGCAGCCGCAGUAA